GUCCCUGUAGCGCAAUGGAUAGCUUGUUGGACUUCUAAUCUAAAGGUUGUGGGUUCGAAUCCCGCCUGGGAUG
rnacentral:tRNA from 1 species